CCCCUAGAUGUUCUGGGCCGCACGCGCGCUACACUGAACAGUUCAACAAGUCUUAACCUUGGCCGAUAGGUCUGGGUAAUCUUUGAACGCUGUUCGUGAUUGGGAUAGACCUUUGCAAUUAUGGGUCUUCAACGAGGAAUUCCUAGUAAACGCAAGUCAUCAGCUUGCAUUGACUACGUCCCUGCCCUUUGUACACACCGCCCGUCGCACCUACCGAUUGAAUGGUCCGGUGAAAUCUCGGGACGGCGGCUUGGUCGCUUGCGUCCGACUGCUGAAACUUGAUUAAACCAUAUCAUUUAGAGGAAGGUGAAGUCGUAACA
rnacentral:rRNA from 1 species